UAACAGUGUUAUUUAUUUUGAGAGAUAUUUGUGUGUAAUGAUCCUUGUUGUUGAUUAAAAAUUUAAGUUACUUUAGGGAUAACAGCGUUAUUUUGAGAGUUCAUAUCGACAAAAAAGUUUGCGACCUCGAUGUUGAAUUAAAAAUUCGCCAUGGCGUAGGAGUUGUGGAGGUAGGGCUGUUCGACCUUGAAAUUUUUACAUGAUUUGAGUUCAAACCGGCGUGAGCCAGGUUGGUUUCUAUCUUUUAAGAAA